rnacentral:misc_RNA from 1 species
GAUGAAGACGUAGCGAAAUGCGAUAAGUAAUGUGAAUUGCAGAAUUCAGUGAAUCAUCGAAUCUUUGAACGCACAUUGCGCCCGCCAGUAUUCUGGCGGGCAUGCCUGUCUGAGCGUCAUUUCAACCCUCAUGCCCCUAGGGCGUGGUGUUGGGGAUCGGCCAAAGCCCGCGAGGGACGGCCGGCCCCUAAAUCUAGUGGCGGACCCGUCGUGGCCUCCUCUGCGAAGUAGUGAUAUUCCGCAUCGGAGAGCGAUGAGCCCCUGCCGUUAAACCCCCAACUUUCCAAGGUUGACCUCAGAUCAGGUAGGAAUACCCGCUGAACUUAAGCAUAUCAAUAAGCGGAGGA